UUUACAAAUAUACAUUUAUAUUAUUGACAACUGCCCUUCUUGUGACCUUUCAUAGGCUUUGCACAUUUCUUGCACAAUGGAUUUCUUUUUUUAGCUGUAUGCUCUUGACCUGUACCAAGCAAAUCUUGUAAUUCUUCAUCUGUGCAUGUGGGGGGACAGUCAGUGUUAAGUUUACGUUUUCGAGAACGAAACAAGGUAAUUGCAUCAACUUUUGCUUGCUUUUCAGAAAGCAUCAUGUGCAUUGGCUCUGGAGUGUGUCUCCUCAAUUCAUUUUCAACUUCUUCAAGCUUUUUCCUUGGAGUCUUCAGCAAAGUGUCAUAAAUUUCUUCAACAUAUGCUUCAACAAAAUUGUUUACCUGCAAUACAUGCCAGAAUAAGAGAAAUGAAUAAUUUUUGGUGCGAAAUGAUUAACAACUGAAUGGUAUCCCUCCAAACAGCUGGUCUGGGCAACAGAAGAUGCUUGUUUGAUAGCUUUAACAAGUUUCUUUUUGGUCAUAGAAAUGCUGGAUGACUGGUUUCCCCAAUUCUUUGCACAGUUUUGGACAUGUUUCCCUCAUCCAUUUGGCUAUGGUGGCAUGUCGAUCUGAUACGAAUGUUGUUAUUAUUAGGCCAGUUGUAAGGAGAAAUGACAUGGCCUUUUGGUGACCAAGAGCCUCCAUAGCUGAACUACUCCCUGCUUGGUUUGCCUUUGACAAAAAUAGAUUCCAAUAUCUUUUUU